rnacentral:rRNA from 1 species
CCUACGGGAGGCAGCAGUGAGGAAUAUUGGUCAAUGGGCGAGAGCCUGAACCAGCCAAGUAGCGUGCAGGAAGACGGCCCUAUGGGUUGUAAACUGCUUUUAUAAGGGAAUAAAGUGGGUCACGUGUGACCUUUUGCAUGUACCUUAUGAAUAAGGACCGGCUAAUUCCGUGCCAGCAGC